UACAGAGGUCUCAAGCGUUGUUCGGAUUCAUUGGGCGUAAAGGGUGCGUAGGUGGCGCUGUAAGUCGGGUGUGAAAUUUCGGAGCUUAACUCCGAAACUGCAUUCGAUACUGCGGUGCUUGAGGACUGGAGAGGAGACUGGAAUUCAUGGUGUAGCAGUGAAAUGCGUAGAGAUCAUGAGGAAGACCAGUGGCGAAUGCGGGUCUCUGGACAGUUCCUGACACUGAGGCACGAAGGCCAGGGGAGCAAACGGG
rnacentral:rRNA from 1 species